rnacentral:rRNA from 1 species
GGACUACAGGGGUUUCUAAUCCUGUUUGAUCCCCACGCUUUCGUGCCUCAGCGUCAAUGUUUGCUUAGUGAGCUGCCUUCGCAAUCGGUGUUCUAUGUCAUAUCUAAGCAUUUCACCGCUACAUGACAUAUUCCGCCCACCUCAACAAAAUUCAAGAUAGAUAGUAUCAAUGGCAGUUUCCGGGUUGAGCCCGGAGAUUUCACCACUGACUUAACUACCCGCCUACACACCCUUUAAACCCAGUGAAUCCGGAUAACGCUUGCACCCUCCGUAUUACCGCGGCGGCUGGCAC